GGAGUUGGUAUCUCAGUGGUAGAGUGCAUGCUCUGUGUGUAUGAUGUCCUGGGUUCAAUACCCAGCCUCUCCC
rnacentral:tRNA from 1 species